GACGGAGGGGGCAAGCAUUGUCCGGAAUCACUGGGCGUAAAGCGCACGUAGGCGGGACGGUGCGUCGGUGCUGAAAGCGCCAGGCUUAACCUGGCGAGGCGUGCCGAUACGACCGACCUCGAGGCAGACAGAGGGUGGCGGAAUUCCGGGUGUAGUGGUGAAAUGCGUAGAGAUCCGGAGGAACGCCGGUGGCGCAAGCGGCCACCUGGGUCUGACCUGACGCUGAGGUGCGAAAGCGUGGGGAGCAAACGGG
rnacentral:rRNA from 1 species